rnacentral:snRNA from 1 species
AUACUUACCUGGCAGGGGAGAUACCAUGAUCUCAAAGGUGGUUUUCCCAGGGCAAGGCUCAUCCAUUGCACUCCAAAUGUGCUGAUCCCUGCAAUUUCCUCAAAUGUAGGAAACCCAACGGCAUAAUGUGUAGCAGUGGGAGACUGUGUUCACACUUUCCUC